AUAAAUAAAUGAAAAUCUCACCUGACCUGGUUAGGGUGAGUGAAUAAAGGGAUGAAGCUGAACAGGGAGACAGUGAGUGUUUGUAACAGUCAGUGCUUUUCUCUCGUUCUGUGUGUGAGUCAGUGUUUGGCUGAACCGCGACUUUACUGGAAACCAGAGCGAAGGACGGCUAGAAAACGAGAUGAUGGGGGUUGAAAGGCAGUGUGAGGUGGCAGUACAAAAACAGUCCCAAAGGGAGUUACAGUGGGUCCAGAAACAGCUGUCAAUCAUCUCCAACAGAACCAAUGGACCAAGCAGGAGCAAAGAUAAGAAACUGAAGAAUGAGGUGUUUCCCUUGCAUUUAUCUGGCUUCCCGGCUCAGCAUGUGGAAGCAUAUCGGCUGCUAGAGGACAGGAAACACAAACUCUCACCUGAGACUGCCGCCCUCUGCCUGCUUCGACAACAGCACACACUACUGGAGACUGAGAUCAGCAGGAAGAGGAAGGAGUGUGAAGUCCUUGAGGAGGAGGUGAAGAAAAAGAGCCAGUCAUGUCAAACUCUGGAGAGUGAGCUUCAGCAUGUUCUGCAGGAGAAAGCGCGUCUGAAUCUACGCUUGUUCAACGAUAACCAGAAGGCAGCAAAGUAUGAGCAGGUGAAAAGUGAGUAUGAGCAGCUGCAGGAGGCUCUGUACACUGUGACAGUGGAGAGAGAUUGCGCUCUGUUGGAGAGGACUGAGCUCCAAGGCAAACUGGAGAACCUAGAGCAGGUGCUGAAGCAUAUGCGAGAGGCUGCGGAGAGGAGGCAGCAGCUAGAAUUAGAGCAUGAACAAGCAUUGGCCGUCCUCAGUGCCAAGCAGCAGGAGAUUGACCUUCUGCAGAAGGCUCAGGUUGAGGCUAAGAAGGAACAUGAAGGUGCCGUCCAUCUGUUAGAGAAUCACUUGGACAGCAUGCAGCUGAGAAGUGUCCUUCGCACUAAGAACACAAUGAGAUUUUUGGCUAAAGUGAGAGAACUGGAGGAAAAAUGCCGGACGCAGAGUGAGCAGUUUAACCUGCUUUCAAAAGAGCUAGAGAAGUUCAGGCUGCAGGCUGGGAAGUUGGACAUCUUGAGCAGCAGCCAGUUGACAGGUGGCGAUUCGCCCGGCUCACCCACCAAACCCCUUACCCUCUCCCAACUCCUCAAUGGCCUCACUGCCCCCUCAGGGAAAGGUAAUGAGGAUUCGAUGAGUAAGAUCUCGGAGCUCAUCCGGCCUCUGCAGAUGACUGAGGGGGAAAAGGUAGAGCUCCUGUCUGUCAAACCUAGUUUCCUGUCACGCAGCACACCCUCCAGCCCACGGCGGGCCUUCCUCUCUGAGGUGCGGCCCGUCAUCGCCACUGCUAUGGACAAAGAGCUUGGCUCGUCCCCCAGGUCUAAGUCCAGAUACACAGGCAAAGUGCGUCUGUGUGUUGCCCGCUACAAUUAUAACCCUUACGAUGGCCCCAAUGAGCAUCCUGAAGCAGAGCUCCCCCUGGUGGCUGGGAAGUACCUGUAUGUCUAUGGAACCAUGGAUGAGGACGGCUUCUAUGAGGGGGAGUUGUUGGAUGGACAGCAGGGUCUCGUUCCCUCCAACUUUGUAGACUUUGUCCAGGAUGAGGAGCUCCCCUCGGCUCCUCUCUUGGACCGCAUCAAGGAACCGUCCUACCUCAACCACAGCCCUGCCUCCAUGCCCAGCAGCGCCGUAAGCACUCUCAGCACGCUGCUCUCAGAGAAGCUGGAUGCACUGGGCUCGGGCACCGGGACGGGCACCAGCAGCAGCAGUGGCGUAAGCAGCUUGGGCAUGAGCACGGGGCUGGGCAUCGAUUAUCUGGGACCCUGCAGCAACGGGACAGGCACGCUGGACGUGAACAUCGACGAGAUCGGAGAAGACAUCGUGCCUUACCCUCGCCGCAUUACCUUGAUCAAACAGCUGGCCAAGAGUGUCAUUAUAAGUUGGGACCCUCCAGUGGUGCUGCCCGGAUGGACGCCUAUCAGCGGCUACAAUGUGCUGGUUGACCAGGAGGUGCGCAUGAGCAUUCCCUUCGGUGGACGCACCAAAUCUCUGAUCGAGAAGUUGAACUUGACUGUCUGUACGCACCGCAUCUCCAUCCAGAGCAUGACGGAACGGGGCCUUUCCGAUCCGCUGCGCUGCACACUUCUGGUGGGGAAAGACGUGGUGGUGGCGCCCUAUUACCUUCGUGUGGAGAACAUCACUCAAGCGUCUGCCGAGCUCACCUGGAUGCCGAGCAACAGCAACUACAGUCACAUGAUCUACUUGAAUGAUGUGGAGUAUGAUGUAGUAAAGCCUGGAGGCUACAAAUACCACUUCUACAACCUGAAGCCCAUGACGGUGUAUAAGAUACGGGUGGUGGCGCGACCCCAUCAGAUGCCCUGGCAGCUUCCUCUUGAGCAGAGGGAAAAGAAGGAGGUCUCGGUGGAGUUCUGCACACAGCCAGCCGCUCGCCAUGCGUUCUUGCAAAAACCUGAAGUUGGUACUUCAAGACUGAAUUGCUCCAGUGGUCCUCCUUUACCUCCUCAGGAUGUGCAAGUGCAGUUGGGACAAACACCUGGAGUCUUGCAGAUUCGGUGGAAACCCCCUACCCUCACUCCAAACGGCACUUCCAACGGAGCCAGUGUAAUGGGCUAUAUAGUCUUCACUAAAGGUCAAAAGAUAGCAGAGAUAAUGCACCCUACAGCAGAUUUCGUUACGGUGGAGCUGAACCGUAUCCAGUGUCUGGAAGCACGGGAGGUCAUUGUGAGGACAAUAUCAGCACAAGGAGAGUCGCAGGACUCUCCCGUGGCCACCAUUCCACACAGCCUCCUGGUGCCUCACCCCCAUGGACACCUUCAUCUCCAGUCUCACCCUCAGACUCACCCACCGCCAUACCCGCAAGCCUAUCCCCCUACCCAUCCACAACCGCACGUCCAGCCUCACUCCAUGCCGCCAUCCCAUCCUCAUCCACAACCCCACAUCCACCCCCCACAUUCCUCGUACCCAAUGUCUAAACCCAAACUCCUACCAAGUGCCAGAGACCCCCAUGCCAAAGAGUCAGAGAUGGGCAGGCGAAUGGGGCAGCCCUGGGAGCCGCAUCCCCGGGCACCAUCACCCCUACCGCACCAUUCUCACCAUGGACACACGCUGGAGCCCCCUCAUGUAGAGGGUCGGCGCUCACCCUCCCCUCAGAGGAUCUUACCUCAACCUCAGGGAGUGCCCAUUCCCAAUACAGUGGCCCGCGCUAUGGCCCGCCAGGCAGCGCAGAGAAAUGCCCCAAACAGCAGGGUGGAAAGGAGGAACAUCUUCAGCGACAGGGGAAAUGCCCUGCAUUCUUUAAACUCAGAUGAGGAAGAGGAAGGGUACGAUUCCCCUCAUGCCAGGCGAAAAGGAGCUUCUGUGGACGAGUUUCUGAGAGGUUCUGAGCUCGGCAGACACCAUCAUCACUACAGUCACAGUGACGAGUAUUACACCGAGAGCAGUCGGGGCUCCGAUCUGUCCGACAUUAUGGAGGAGGAUGAGGAGGAGCUGUACUCAGAGAUGCAGCUGGAAGAAGGCCGCCGACGCAGCAUCAACUCACACAACACGCUAAAGGCGUAUUACAGGCGUCAGGAUCUAGCGGUGGAGAGAGACAGUUGGGACCUGCAGAGGGAGGUGGUACGACAGCGCUCCUUGCGAUCACACAAGCGGCUUCACAGCAUCCCGGAGGUUGCAGAGGAGGAUCCAGACACCGGAGUGGAGGUCAUGGGCCAGCGCCUGCGUUUCGAGGAGGCUCGUCCAGGUACUCCCUGCAGAAGCCCACGGCCCUACCACCAAGACUCACGCCAGUCAAACCACCUCUCCCCAAGCAAGUGUGUUCGUAGGCUGCAGAGGCAACGCUCUUCUCCACGCUACACCUCAAUAGAGGAGCGUCCGCCAUGCUGGAGCAGCAGUAGUAGCAGGCAGACCACCAAGAGCCCUGACAGUGGACUAGACUGCGGCAGUGAGGAGGAGGGUUCUCUUGGUUACCGCGGAGGCUACCACUCUUACAUGGGGGGCAGCCCACUGCGUGUGGGUUCUGGCCCUAACAUGCGGUUAAUCCACAGCGAGGGACCGGUGGAGCGACGCGCUCUUGCUGCUGGCAGGAAAAGGACAUUGACCCGGCAGUGCAGUGUGGAGGAGGACUUCCUCGAUGCCAUUCCAGAGACAAGGAGCAUGCGAGAGUCGUACCACCACUACCACUACCAUCCGCACCAUCACCAUCCCCAGCGCAGAUUCCGCAGCGAGGGCAGGCUGAGCGAGGUUGGCAGGACCUAUCACAGGGACAUUAGGGCCUACUCUGUGGCCAGACUCAACAGGGCAAUGGAUGAACCCCUGAUUUUAGGGAGCUCUCCCUCAACGGGACGCUCGGAUCGACUGGACCAUUCUGGCCGUAGGACAGGUCAUGGCUGUCCACCAGCUCAGAGAAGACCAAUGACGGUCCCUUCUAUUGAGAUUACCAUGGAGAAUAACAGUGAGGGGAGUGAGGGGAACCUCUCACCAAUCAAGGACGAUGUUUACUAUACCAAUGUAGCCCACCGCAGGAAAUGGCCCGCACAGCGAACAGAGCACCGAUAUGAUGGUUACGGACGUGAACGGCGGUCUCCAGACUACUAUGAGUCAGAGCCAGAGGACUUGUCUCGAAUCUUUGUGGCCAUGUUUGACUAUGAUCCCCUGUCAAUGUCACCCAACCCUGAUGCUGCUGUUGAGGAACUUCCCUUCAAGGAGGGCCAGAUCAUAAAGGUGUUUGGAGAAAAGGACACAGAUGGAUUCUACAGGGCAGAGAUCUGUGGCCGCAGGGGCCUCGUCCCCUGUAACAUGGUCUCUGAGAUCCAGACGGAUGAUGAUGAAAUGAUGGACCAGCUGCUCAAACAGGGCUUUCUUCCACUCAACACACCCAUUGAGAAAAUAGUAAACUGCAAUAGGUUCAAAGAUGGCCGUUCAGUUAAUCGCAGGUCCCGGAAAUCCAAAAGAGAAAGGAACAAAAGGAGUGGAAGACAGCAUGCAGUGUCGACGCGGAGGAUGGUGGCACUGUAUGAUUAUGACCCCAGAGAAAGCUCGCCUAAUGUAGAUGUGGAGGCCCGCUAUGGGGGCAGCUUGCAGAGCGAGGAGGCUGAGCUGACGUUUUGUGCAGGUGAUGUGAUCACAGUGUUUGGAGAGAUCGACGAGGAUGGCUUUUACUAUGGGGAGCUCAAUGGACACAAAGGUCUGGUCCCCUCCAACUUUCUCGAAGAAGUGCCUGAUGACGUGGAGGUUUACCUCACCAACACCCCGAGCCGUCACCCACAGGACCACCCAUCCCGGACAAAGAACAAAAGGAAGAAGAGUGUUCAUUUCACUCCGUAACGGCUCAGUAUCUGUCACGUUUGAUUUGGCUCCAACACCCUUGGUGAAGUUACCAUGCUGAAAGGUGAUAGAUUACUUCAAAAGACUGGUCCCCGUGGAAAAAGCGGGCCCUCCCAGAAGAAGUGCCACCCCCACAGUGCGCCCACACACCCCAGGGCUCUGUGGUCCCGUCCGGAGCCCCCGAGCUGAAUCUCAGAAAACAGGACUGCUCUCCAAAGGAAAGAGUCUGUUGAAAAGGCUUGGUGCUGUCAAAUAGUUUCACAUUCGUUCUCAACACAGCAGCCGGGUUUAGGAGAUUGGAAUUAAAGAGAAAGUGAUAGAAGAGGUGGGGAGAAGAAGGAAAACAAUCCCCCAUCAUAGUUUUUUCACAUGCACUGGAUCAAACAUGUAACAUAGAAAGAGAAAUGGUGCAAACUAGGGCUUUCAUGACCACUACGUUGAUGAAACUGUAAACUCUGUUUGCCGUGUUUGAUUAUAAAAAGCACAGAAAUGCUCGCUAAUGUGAGUUAUUAUGAUGUCCUGUCUUAAAAACACAGUAAUCAAAUGCAAUCAAUACUAUAUUAAAAACAACAAUAUUUAUUAUUGUUAUGCUCACUGUUUUGAUUUAAUGUGAUGUCUUAAAUAUCACUGUAAAACAGGGAAAAUUAAAUACAGCUUAUACUUCUAUUUAAUUUGUUAUAAAGAAUAUAUAUAUAUAUAUAUAUAUAUAUAUUCAUUUAUUAUUGUUAUAAUUAACAACAACAAGGUGAAUAUUCAUUUAAAAUGAUAAAUUAUGCUAAUAUUAUAAAUAUAGUUGUACAAGGGAUGUGUGAGAUAAAGAUACACCAUUGAUAUUUAUUAAAUUAGAAGAAUAUUUAAAAGGAUAUAUUUAAGGGAUAUUUAGCUGUUGCCAUUUUUGCACAUUUUAGAUAAUCUAGACCUUUUUUCCACUAUAAGAAGGAUACCCAGCACAAAUGUAUAGGAGUUAGCACAAAUAUGCAAUGGGGAUAUGCAGUAAACCUUCUGUAUAUAUCCACAAACACCAUGAGAGGAAACAAUGUUUUACUUUUCUUUAAUUCAUUUGUUUUUGUUUAUAUUUUUAUUGUUAUUUUAAUUUAUUUUUUAAGUACUAAAUGGUCAUGAAACUCCUAGUGGAAGCGAGUCUCCUCAUAUUUGCCUUACUCAAUGCACAAUGGUUUGUGUUGUGGCUGAGACUGGUCUGUUUUGUGUUGUGUGCAGUCAUGUCGACGAUUCCCUCAUCAAGCAGCACUGUAUUUCAAAUCUGUCUCACCAAGUGUUGUGUUGUUGUUUGCAAUGGUUGUCAUAAGUAGGAAAGGAUAGACUUUCACUUCGUUUAAACAACAACAAAAAAAAAACAUUCAAGUUGUUCAUUUACUUUCGCAUGUAAAUUGUAAUUGAAACAAUUUACAUUAUCAUGCUUUUAUAUACAAUUUACACAAAAGUGCGAUAUGUUUUCAUGAACGAAGACCUUAUUUAGCACAAAUUGACAUGAUUAUUAGCCUCUCAUAAUAUCCAAACCAUUCGAAUAACAUAUCCGUGUAGGAAAUGAUCAGUUGUGAAUGUAUGGCCAAGGAAAACUUUCCCAGUUCAAAACUUUCCUACUGUACUGUAUUUCCUCUCCAGACAUUGCUCGUAUUCAUUUGUUUGUUCAUCAUUUCAUCUUUAUUUUUGCCCUGAACGAACAUGCUAAAGUAGGUUUGCAAGUAUGGACCGAGACUGCCAAAAAAAAAAGGAAUGUAUGAGAAGCAUUCUGUAUAUCUUGUACAAUUUACAGCCAAACUCCAGGUGUUCAAUUCAUCAGAAUAAACGUGUUUUCUUGUCUUUUUUGUUUCUUUUCCGUUUUAAUCAUUUAAUCAUGAGAUAUGUUACGGAGCAUCGCUUCUACAUGUUUGAGUGACUGCUGCUCUUUUUGUACUUUUUGUCCAUUUGUACAUUCUUUUUAAAUGUUUCUACUUGCUUUUCAGACUGCCUUUUUUGUACAUUCAACUUUAUAUUCUGACAGUGGAAGCUUUCCUCACGGUGUCUUCAAACCAUAACGUUUUAAAGUCUGCAAUUGUGUGCUAGCUUUAUGAAAAAGAAUUAUAAGCCUAUAUUGAUGGUUAUCAAAUAUUGUGUGAGUGUGCAUGUGCAGUUUUAUAUCAAAAUAAAUUUGAUAUUUUAUACA